GGGGGCGUAUUGGUAUUGACAGGUAUUCUAAAAUACAGAUAGCGAGUAGUGGGCUCCGCCGGCCACUUAAAAAAGCGGAAACUUAAAUUAAACGCUAAUAAUAAUGAAUUAGCAUUAGCUGCCUAAGCGCGGCUACGUCAGCCUAAGAGUGUCACCGGCUUAGUGUCUGGCGUCGACAGGUGACCACAAAACCGGUAAAGCUUUGCAUCGGUGGGUAUUUAUGAAGCUACUGAUGUCAUCAGUCUGUUUAUAGACGGUUGGCAAAGGGAAUGUGAAAGUAUAAACUGCACUCGGAGAAGUCUGUAUGGCAGGAUUCUUGGACAGGAGUUCAACUCUCCUCGCCUCCACCA
rnacentral:tmRNA from 1 species